UGUCAAUAUAUGAUUGGUCAAAAAUUAUAUCAAAUCCUUCUAGUGACGUUAACACUUCUCCAUUAUCUUCAUUAAAUGAAAUUAAAAUCAUAUUAUAUUAACAUAAUUAUUUAUUUUGGAGUAAAAGUAAUAAAUGAAUUGAAAAUUAUUUAAUAAAAUAGCAUGUCAUGAUAAAAAGAGAGGUAUUUUGAAAUACCUCAUUUUCUCUUCUUUUUCCUCUCUUCUUCUCUCUUUGCUAGUCUCGAACCAAGGACUCGUAGCUGAGGGACAAUAGCCCAAACCAUCAAAUCACUUGGGAAACCGGCG
rnacentral:lncRNA from 1 species